rnacentral:rRNA from 1 species
UUUAAUUGAAGUCUAGAACAAAUGAUUUAACACUUUAAUUAAUUUCUUUAAUCUUCAUAUAAAAUUAUAUUAAAUGUAAAAAUACAUUUAUUUAUAAGAAAGACGACAAGACCCUAUUGAACUUUACUAUAGUUUAACUGGGGCAGUUUAAUAAUUAAAAUUUUAUUUUUAAAUAUACAAAAAUCAAUUUAAUUGAAAUAAUCAAGUUACCAUAGGGAUAACAGCGCAAUUAAUAUUUAAAGAUCUUAUAUAAAUAAUAGAUUACGACCUCGAUGUUGAAUUAAUUACCUAAUUAAAGUAAAAUCUAAAUAAGGGAGUCUGUUCGACUUUUAAAAAAUUACAUGAUUUGAGUUCAGACCGGUAUAAGCCAGGUCGGUUUCCAUCUUCUUUAAAUUGUAUACAGUACGAAAGGACCUAUAUAAAAAUAUAUCAUUAAUUAUAUUAGCAAACUAAUGCAUUAGAAUUAGAAUCUAAUUAAUCCAUAAUUAUAUUUUCCCUAAAUUAUAUUACUAUUAUAAUUAGA